rnacentral:rRNA from 1 species
UACGUAGGGGGCAAGCGUUGUCCGGAAUCAUUGGGCGUAAAGAGCGUGUAGGCGGUCCGUUAAGUCGGCUGUGAAAGUCCAAGGCUCAACCUUGGGAUGCCGGUCGAUACUGCCGGACUAGAGUUCGGAAGAGGCGAGUGGAAUUCCCGGUGUAGCGGUGAAAUGCGCAGAUAUCGGGAGGAACACCUACGGCGAAGGCAGCUCGCUGGGACGUUACUGACGCUGAGACGCGAAAGCGUGGGGAGCAAACAGG